UACGUAGGGGGCAAGCGUUAUCCGGAUUUACUGGGUGUAAAGGGAGCGCAGACGGUUAUGCAAGUCUGAAGUGAAAGCCCAAGGCUCAACCAUGGGACUGCUUUGGAAACUGUAAAACUGGAGUGCAGGAGAGGUAAGCGGAAUUCCUAGUGUAGCGGUGAAAUGCGUAGAUAUUAGGAGGAACACCAGUGGCGAAGGCGGCUUACUGGACUGUAACUGACGUUGAGGCUCGAAGGCGUGGGGAGCAAACAGG
rnacentral:rRNA from 1 species